rnacentral:rRNA from 1 species
CAUGUAGGUUGUAAUUUAAGUCAGUUUUAAAUGUCACGGCUUAACCGUGGACUGGAAUUGAAACUGGAUUACUUGAGUAUGAGAGGGGACAGAGGAAUACCUAGUGUAGCGGUGGAAUGCGUAGAUAUUAGGUAGAACACCCGAGGCGAAGGCGUCUGUCUGGCUCAUUACUGACACUGAAAUGCGAAAGCAUGGGUAGCGAACAGGAUUAGAUACCCUGGUAGUCC